UUUUCUCUAUACUCUCUUCCUCUCUUUCUAUCUCUAUUAUUUUUGUGUGUUUCUCUAUAAUUGGGAACAAGGCAUUGAGGCUACCUUUAUGGACUGAGCGAGGCGUCUUGUUGUUUGUUGAGGUGUCUUACUGUUUGUUGAGGUGUUUUAGUGUUUGUCGAAGGUCGUCGAGGUGCUCUGACACGUUCGCUCCCGCGUUGACUAUCAAGUAACCCUCCUAUUGAUAAAGGUGUGGCUCAUGAGUCUGCUGGAGUAAAACCAACUACCUUGGUUCGAAAAAAAUCCCUAUUAAAGAUAAACAUUGUCCCAAAGCAACACUAAAUAAACAUAGAGAUGAUGAGCAGAUGGUUGGAAAAUCUUUUGACUUGCUUGGCCGACUUAUUUUCCCAGGUUAACCUAGAUCUUUCUGCAACCAAUUCCUUGGCUUGAAAUGCAUUGAACUACUAGAUAAGAGAGUAAAAAAAAUGAGAGUCGGCGUCAGUAGGAGUUUUUGGGCUCCCAAUUACACCUAUCUUUCUUUAAGUCUUUCAGUACCGAAAGCAAUCCAAAAAUAUCCUCAGAUGCUACAGGAGACAUAGGUAAGAAACAAUUAGCGCUGUCAGAGGAUUCAGCUGUUACAGGAGAGUCUAAAUUUGCUGCACUUGGAGCUGAUUCUCUUGACACGGUACUUUAAUAUCAGUCUA